rnacentral:misc_RNA from 1 species
CCUGUUCUCCGGGCCCUCCCCCCUUGAGGGGGGAACAACAUGGGGGCCCGGGUGUUGGGUGCGCCGUCCUCCGGGGAUCCCGGAAAGAGGACGGGGCCCGAAACGCAGCGGCGGUGCCGUGUCCGGUCCUGGAGCGUUAUGGGGCAUCUGUCACGCGCUCGAGGGGGGACUGGACCCGGUCACCGGCCUUUCCGGGGACGUACGUUCGUUCCUGUUCACCAUCC